UUCGACGAGUCGAGUUGUUUGGGAAUGCAGCUCUAAAUGGGAGGUAAAUUCCUUCUAAAGCUAAAUACUGGCCAGAGACCGAUAGCGCACAAGUAGAGUGAUCGAAAGAUGAAAAGCACUUUGGAAAGAGAGUCAAACAGCACGUGAAAUUGUUGAAAGGGAAGCGCUUGCAGCCAGACUUGCCCGCGGUCGUUCUUCUUCCGCGGGCAGGCCAGCAUCAGUCUGGGCGGUCGGAUAAAGGCCUCGGGAAUGUAGCUCUCUUCGGGGAGUGUUAUAGCCCGGGGCGCCAUGCGGCCAGCCCGGACUGAGGUCCGCGCAUCUGCUAGGAUGCUGGCGUAAUGGCUGUAAGCGGCCCGUCUUGAAACACGGACCAAGGAGUCUAACAUCUAUGCGAGUGUUUGGGUGUCAAGCCCGGGCGCGCAAUGAAAGUGAACGGAGGUGGGAACCCCUCGGGGCGCACCAUCGACCGAUCCUGAUGUCUUCGGAUGGAUUUGAGUAAGAGCAUAGCUGUUGGGACCCGAAAGAUGGUGAACUAUGCCUGAAUAGGGUGAAGCCAGAGGAAACUCUGGUGGAGGCUCGCAGCGGUUCUGACGUGCAAAUCGAUCGUCAAAUUUGGGCAUAGGGGCGAAAGACUAAUCGAA
rnacentral:rRNA from 1 species